AGUGGCAGACGGGUGAGUAAUGUAUAGGAAUCUACCUAGUAGUACGGAAUAAUUGUUGGAAACGGCAACUAAUACCGUAUACGCCCUACGGGGGAAAAAUUUAUUGCUAUUAGAUGAGCCUAUAUUAGAUUAGUUAGUUGGUGAGGUAAAGGCUUACCAAGACAAUGAUCUAUAGCUGAUCUGAGAGGAUGAUCAGCCACACUGGAACUGAGAUACGGUCCAGACUCCUACGGGAGGCAGCAGUGGGGAAUAUUGGACAAUGGGCGAAAGCCUGAUCCAGCCAUGCCGCAUGAGUGAAGAAGGCCUUCGGGUUGUAAAGCUCUUUUAGUGAGGAAGAUAAUGACGGUACUCACAGAAGAAGUCCUGGCUAACUCCGUGCCAGCAGCCGCGGUAAUACGGAGAGGGCUAGCGUUAUUCGGAAUCAUUGGGCGUAAAGGGCGCGUAGGCGGGUUAGUAAGUUAAAAGUGAAAUCCCAAGGCUCAACCUUGGAACUGCUUUUAAAACUGCUAGUCUAGAGAUUGAAAGAGGAUAGAGGAAUUCCUAGUGUAGAGAUGAAAUUCGUAAAUAUUAGGAGGAACACCAGUGGCGAANGCGUCUAUCUGGUUCAAAUCUGACGCUGAGGCGCGAAGGCGUGGGGAGCAAACAGGAUUAGAUACCCU
rnacentral:rRNA from 1 species